GGGUCUAGCUGCGGCCACGGCCAGUACACGAUGGUACACGACACGCCCACCUGACACGACACUACGGUGGCUGAGAAGGGUCUAGCUACGGCCGCGAAAAGUUGUACUUCCAAAUAUGGUCAGAAGAGAGCACGCCCAACACGUGAGGUUUACAGACAACAAACAACAUGGCGCACCGAGUACAGACAAACAACACAACACUCCGUGAUGGAGCACGCCCAGAGCUCAACAAAUUGGACUCGGACACCUUCCAGUGUCCAUUUUGUGAAAGGACCGGGUCACACCCUGCUCUGAUGGCUCAUUUGCAGAGCCACCAGAGGUCGCUUGUGAAAUAUGGAGAUGCCCCUGGACACUGAUGAGGACCACUCCUAUAACAAGAGGCCUUACAGCUUCCUUCCUAAAGAGUCGGUUAGUGAAUGGACACAUUAAAGUGUACAACCCCUGAUGCAUGUGAUUUUAUAAUAUUACAUAUGACUUCUUUAUACCAUCUUGUCUUAUCAGUGAGAUGGAACUUUGUUCUCAUGACCUCGCCAAGAACAUGAGUGAGGAAGCGCACCAAAGGCUGAAGGACUUGUGAAAGAUUCCGAGGAGUUUAUUAUUUAUUCAAUAUUUUUUUAAGUUGACCAGCUCUGAUUUUCCAUUUGAUGUUCUGUUCAAUAAAUGUUCAUUGAGGAAAA